rnacentral:lncRNA from 1 species
UGUAGGAUAAAAAAAAAUGGAAAAUAUCGUUGGAAGGUACUAGUAUCUCUCUACUAGCUAGUAAGUAGCUUACCUAGUAGCUGUCCUACCACAAAACCCUCUUCGUUCCCUACUCUUCCCUCCCAAGAACGAUUUUUUAGCGAUCGGCGAUAUUUCCGGCAUCCCCCGUCUACUGUUCUCCGGACGAGCUCCCGUCUACUGUCUGUGUUUUCGACUUUCACCGCGUUUAAAAAUAUCCGUCACUGUCCUCCAUUCAACCGGAAGAACAUUCAGAACAUUCAUUCCCAAAAACCCCGGUACGUCCUGUAUUAAAAAAUAAAAACUCAUUUCUUUCUGCGACUUCUAGUUUAUGAUGUGAUAUAGGGGUGAAGUGGAAACCGGUUUGAUGCGUUGGUAGUUUCGAGAAGACUUCCGAGGAGGCAUCCGGUGAGAAGUUUGAGUAUCAGAGAGAGGUGGGGUAUCUGUAACAAUUUUGAGCAAAAAAAAAAUCUUUUAUGGGGAGGCAAAUGACAAAUUUAAUCUACAGUUUCUUCUCUCCAUUGUUUAACUUUCUUCAUUUCUAGCUUCUUCGUUUUUAAUUUCUCCAUC